rnacentral:rRNA from 1 species
CGCGUAGGGGGCGAGCGUUGUCCGGAAUCAUUGGGCGUAAAGAGCUCGUAGGCGGCUCGGUAAGUCGGGUGUGAAACCCCCAGGCUCAACCUGGGGACGCCACCCGAUACUGCUGUGGCUAGAGUCCAGUAGGGGAGUGUGGAAUUCCCGGUGUAGCGGUGAAAUGCGCAGAUAUCGGGAGGAACACCAGCGGCGAAGGCGGCACUCUGGGCUGGAACUGACGCUGAGGAGCGAAAGCGUGGGUAGCAAACAGG